ACAAACCUAUAGUCCCUAUCUUGUACGUAACCCGGGGACUGCCUGUACUAAUACGUGAGCAUUUUAGAUUGAGAACUUCUCAUAUUUUGAAAGUAAAAUUGUGUUGACUCCUAUAUUCAUUACCAAAUAAUGCUUAAAUAAUUCUGUACCUCGUGCUUGAAAUAUUUCAGUCUGUGUAAUAGGCUUACAUAUUUAGGCCUGGUAAGUUGAUGUUGGAUGAAGGAUGAUUUUGUGUUUAAUGGCAUCAAACUGGCAGUCAAAAGACUUCUGUUCCCAGCUCUGCCACAUACUUACUGUGUCAUCUUGUGCAAAUCAGACCUCUUGCUUCAGCUUUUGCCAGUAUGAUAAAAUAUCAUACUGCUGUGUUUGAGGCUUUUUUUCAUAAACUGAUUCCUUUUAAGAUGAGAAUGGGCCAUUAUGGUUUUAAAAUUUCAUCAGUUCCUGCAUGAGACCUAGAAAUUUGUGCUUGAACUAGAGUGUAUUUUUUAGGAAGUCAUCAAACAUUCUUAAUUCAGUUCUGUAAAAUGCAUUAAGAUGCAAAAUAUUAAUAUUACUACUUUACUAUUAUUAUCUGACCUUAAAAAUCUCUUUAUUCCUAUCAUUGUGCUUUUCCAUCCUCAAUUAUGACUUGAUAAUUGUGUUUGCCUCAAACUUAAGAAAUAGAUUUUUAAAAAUGGAUUUCAGAAGUUAUUCCUAAUUUAUAGUUAAAUUGAUUAACAAUUUAUACCUAUUAAAAUAUUUUAAAAAUAGUUUGAACAUUGAUUUCUGGUUCUAGAUGUAGUGGAAUUUCUGCCAGAAUUGAUAUCCGGGGGAGGGGGGUGGGAGGGGAAUGCAUGAUGAUAAACAGUCAUGAUGUUGCUCUCAUAGCUCACAAUUUGCCAAUCUGUAAAUAAAGCACAAUAUAAACCUGAGCACCAACCUCUUCUUUCUGAUGUUACCUUGGACAUUCAAUUCUAGCCAUAAUAUUUCACAAAAUAUCCAUACUUCCUCACUUUUUCCUUUUAGUAGUGCUGUUUAGAUGAUGGUCCAAGGCUGAACAUCAUUUGUUCCAGAAUUUAUACUAGUGCAUUUUUUAUCCCCUGGGAAGUCCAAACACAAACAUGUAUAUGCCUCCAUCCCAAUGCCUUCCCAACAAAAUGUGUAUUUUGACCGUUUCUUUGAAAUAUAUAUUUAAUUUUUUUCUGUUUGUUCUUGGAGUUUUGUUUUGUAAGCUGUUGGGUAAAUCACAUCUAGAUGGACCUAUAAGAUACAAAAACAUUUGUGGCAUAUGCUGCCAUUUUUUUAAAGACGCUUGUGUAUUUUUUGUGGCUGUCUUGAAAUAUUGGCUUAGUUCCUUGUUUUAGACCAAAUUUACAAUUUUGUCCUUACAAGUUGCAUUUUGGAUUAUAGCAGAAGAUUUAAAUAGUUAUUGUGUGCUCAUCUCAUGAUAAAUAAAUGAAUUCUUAUGAAAAGACACAGACUGCAUAUGCUAGUGAAGCAGUGAUAGGAAUAAAGGACUUCACUGCAAUGGAAAUACUUCUUUCAAAAUAUAGGUCAACUGAGAUUUAAAAUUUGGUUUAUUUUUUUCACCCAUCUUCGUUGGCAUAAAUCAUUAUAUGCCUGCUGCUAUAAGUGUGUUCCCUAACUAUUUUCCUUUUCAUGAAAGUGUGUGUGUAUUUUCAAUAUCUCUAAAGCUAUUACAAAUUUUAAAUUACGGAUUUAAGAGAUGGAGGUUCUUUGAAUAAAACUUUUUGAAUUUGUUGAAUGUUACAAAGACAUGCAACACAGCACUUCUUUGCCCUUCACCCAGAACAUUCAUGUCAUGGUUUAAGAAGUUGUAGUCCCACAAAGAUUUUUCAAAUCUGCUGACAUUAUUUUGGAAGAGGAUGUUAGGACAUGGUGUCUGCUUCAAAAUGACAGGUAAGAAAAAACACACAGGAGGGAGUGGGGGAACAUUGAAUGUGUUUGUAUAAAGCAGCAAUAUGAAAAUAUUCUGAAAAUUAUUUUAAUACUUUCACAUUAAAAUGUCCCUAAAUAACUUAAAUAUUUCUUACUUAUAUACAAAUGUCUCAAUUUGUGAUAUACAGAUAAACUCAGAUUAUCUGUAAUCCAGGUUAUCCCAUCAACUGAAAUUUUGUUUCCCCAAAUUUUAUAGUUUUCUGAAAUUCAAAUAAGUCCUCUUAGCCAUUCAGACAUCCAGGGUUCAGUUACACUUAAAUACUUUUUGCAUGCUGGAAACGUGGUGAUAGUUUUGUUUACAUAGUGUUGUUAAAGUGUAAAUAUAAGCUAAUGUUCUCCUAGUCUUUGUCUACAUACAAAUCUUGCAUCAGUUUAACGAAAAUCAGUUUUAAAAUUAAUGCAAAUAGGUACACAAAUUCUCAUAGAAUUACCUCAGUCUCUUUACCAACUACCUUAUAUCAAUAUUGUUUCACUUGGUAAGGGAUUGUUUAAAAUUAUAAUGUAGAAAUCAGUUUUAGGUCAGCUUUGCUGUUUGUAGAGUACUGACUGAGCAGAGAGUGAAGUCCUGGUCAUGACUCGGACACCUAGAUACUACAAAAAUACAAAUAAUUAAUAAUUUAAGUAUGUUCAUGUUUGUGCUAAUUUAAUUAAAUCUAUUUGAAAGCAGACUUUAGGUCAAUCAGUGCAAAUUCUUCUGUUUGUAGAUUACACUUUAGUCUAGGUUUCUGUAACUGAGAAAAACUUAUCCUAAAAUGUACUGAUUUAUGUUUCAUGUGAAUCUAGUUAAGUCACAUCUAUAACUCAGAGUGUUUUCAGGUGAGAGAUUUGCAGGGAGAACGUUGCAUAUUCUCAAACUCCCUCUUUGAGCAACUUUGUAUUUCGUAGCUGACUGGUAAUAUUGUAAAAUAUAGUGUGUGUGUGUGUGUGUGUGUGUGUGUGUGUGUGUGUGUGUGUGUGCGCGCGUGCAGUUAGCAGUUAAGUGCAAAACUGGUAGGUUACACUCAGUGAUUAAUACCAAUCUGAAUGGGGACAAUCUUAUUCAAGAUACCAUUAUCACAGAUUAAUAGCAUGAAAAUCAUAUCAAAUGCUUUUAAAAAAUUCUCUUGAAAGUUCCCUAGUACAUAAGUAAAGUGUAUAAAGAACUGUUAUUGUUAGUUCACACUUCUGUUUUCUAAUAAUUCCAACAUAUAUUUCUAAUGAAUGCUUAAAAAAAUCACGUGGUGAUACAUCAAAGUAUUCCACAGAACAUUUUUUAAAGCAACAGUCUGACUCAAAUUUUAUUUACUCAGUAGAAUAAACCAACAAUUCAGAUUAAUUUCUGCCAAUCUUGAGAUUUAGUAGACCCAGAUCCAAAAUUUACCCUUUCAGACCACUUGUUUCAUAUACAUUUAUUUAAAAUAUAUCUUUGUUAUAUUUAUAGACAGCUUAAAAUUCAUAAAGCUUUCUGUAAAUAUUAUGUCGUGCCAUAUCUUCAUUACACAUCACAUGGCAAAUGGAAAUCUUUGUGAUGCAAACUUAAUUCUUUGCUUUUUCCACUAAUCUGUUAGUCAAUUUUUUUUAAUAGUUUAUUUUUGCUGAUCAGAUCCAAAGCCCAUUGCAUACAAUAGGAGACUUUCCAUUGACUUCAGUGGGCUUUAGAUCAGGCUCUAAAGGUAAAUAGAGUAGUUUUUGCUGAUAUUUGUAAGAUACAUGGUCUGAUAUCUAGAAACACAUUGAUUCCAAGUAAUCAAAUUGUAGGACUUUUCAAACAAUAUUUUUAAUGUCCAAAAAUGUACAGGUUUCUGAAAAUUCAUUUCUGACUUUAAAUCUGCAUUAAGUUGAAUUAUGAUGCAUAAAGCUUUGCAGCUGCUGUGUUUCAGGUUUCAUAAAUAUUUUCAAAUGUAAGUACAACUAUCCUUAAGAAAGUAAUUGCUUUAAAUCCUGGCAUGUCUAAAAUAUGAAUUAAUAAAAGGCUAAAUAUAGUGAAUGAAAUCUUUCCCUUGAACACAGUCUUUUAUUCUUCACUGACAUUUGCUUUAACAUUAUUAAAUCUCCUCCCAUUUCUUCAUUCCUUUAAAGAGUGAUAAUUUUGCAGCUACUGCCUAAUUUGUGAACUGAAAACUAUAAAAUAGAUGGAAAAUGCCUUUUCAACUUGUGAGCUCUUUUCUGACAAUAAAACUGCCUUAUAACCAUUUUAAUUUUGGAUUUUACUGUGCAAUAAAGUUUUAAUUAUUUUUGUAAAUACCCCGCCUUCUUUGCUGUCUGCAGUGAUUAUAUUUGUUAUUCUUAGGGAACAAACUAUGCUUGUUUUAUUAACCGUAAUGCACCAGUUGGUUUCAGGAGGAUCUAAUCAUGUUUAAAUUGAGCAGGAUUUAGCUCUGAAAGAAUAAGAAAAACUCACGUAAAAGUGAUAGAAAGCUAAAGAAAGCAAAGUCAUUUGUUGACAUUUUUAAAAGUGUAUAUCAUUGAAUUUUUUUAUUGUUACUUCAGCAACCAGCAUUGUUUUCUGUUACCUUUUGCUAGGAAGUCAUUGGGCAAAUACGAACACAGCUGUACGGAAUAUCUGCCUGAAGGUUUCUUUGGGAUAAUAUCUCUUUCCACAAAAACAUAAUCACAAAGGAGGAUGUCUUGAGUGCAUCUCAAAAAUGGAAUUCUUCCUUUCUGAGUGCUGGAUAGUGGGUUAAAAUUAAAAUGCUAAAAUGCAGAUGAAGAUUGGUUUAAAAACAAGUGCUGCUCUUUCUUAGGAGUACAGACGGUCAAGGUCAUGAAGCAAUUUUUUAAACUUUCAGGUUGGAAAAAGACAGCAAAGUUGUCCAUCUUCACCCUGAGAAAUACUGUGCCGAGUAUUGUGCAGCAAACAUGCUGAUGUUUCCCUGGUCUAAAGGAGACAGCUGAAGUGUGUCUGUCACUUUCAACUUCUUCCAAAAAAUACUCUUCGGGGGCGGGAAAAAAGCCAGCUAUUUUCAAAUAAAAUGGUGCCAAAUCAA